GCAUCCGUAGCUCAGCUGGAUAGAGUACUCGGCUACGAACGAGCGGUCGGAGGUUCGAAUCCUCCCGGAUGCACCA
rnacentral:tRNA from 1 species